UUCGUUAACACUGAGAAGAAUAUUGACAAGUGUCCACUGUGAAUGUUGCUGCAGCAAAUUAACCUUCUAUUCACUUGUAAUAAAUUGAUACAUUUAAUAUAAGAUCAUUUGAUAAAUUAAAAUGUAACUUUUGCAUUAGACAAAAGCAACAUUAACACCAACAAAGGCUCCAGUCGGGCUUGAUAUCAAAUGAGAUGUUGGGAGGAGUGAUUGUUGCUCAUGUUUCCGCAUUCCCGAGUCUUUGUUCCGGCGCAGCUCGCUGAGGGCCGGCGCUGGUUCAGGUGCCACCUUCUAUAAAAGGAGCAGCAGGUGAGAGCUGCCGAUGCGGAGUUGCUGCCCAGUUCGCUGAGAGUUCAUCGCUCUCACUCUCAAAGGUUUGGACCCAUUUGAAAUCAGAACAUCUCAACUUUGUCUCCAGCUUCAGGAGCUGAAGUUCUGAGAUGUUUCGUCACGGUAAAUGAGUCAGUUAAACCCUUUUUCCUGAAAUGUAAAUCCAGUAUUUGACAUUAAAUUUGGACUUAAUUCAGGUGGGGGCUGUGGCCAAGGGGGCCACGGGGGCCACGGGUGCCACGGGGGCCACGGCCAUGGGGGCCACGGCCAUGGGGGCCACGGGGGCCACGGGUGCGGGUCUGGACCUGGACCUGGACACUGCCAUGGGGGACCCAAACGCAGGAGAAGGAACAAGAGAGGCCACAAGCACAGGAAGUGUCACAAGAAGGGGAAGGACUGUCAUGGGUCCUCCAGCAGCUCCUGCAGCAGCGACUCUGAUUAGAUGUAGAAGACUUGUAACAUCUUCUUCACAUGAAAUCCCUGGCUUUAAAUGCAAUUUUAAAUGUUAUGGUUUUCUUACCAGAAUCAGAAUUUAAAUAAAUAAAAGCACUCGGACAAAUUACCAAUAUGUUUU
rnacentral:lncRNA from 1 species